rnacentral:rRNA from 1 species
CAGCUCUCCGAGUGGUAGGGAUGAUUAUUGGGCUUAAAGCGUCCGUAGCCUGCUUAGCAAGUCUCCUGUUAAAUUCAGCGACCUAAUCGUUGAGCCGCGGGAGAUACUACUAGGCUAGGAGGCGGGAGAGGUCGACGGUACUUCUGGGGUAGGGGUGAAAUCCUAUAAUCCCAGGAGGACCACCAGUGGCGAAGGCUGUCGACUAGAACGCGCUCGACGGUGAGGGACGAAAGCUGGGGGAGCGAACCGGAUUAGAUACCCGUGUAGUCC